AGCCAGCUUGCCCAAAAAGUAGCUGGGUUUGGUUUUUCAAGAGAUAGAAGCUCCAUUUUAUAUAAUAAGUUGCUUUUAACGAAUGCUCCCAGCAGCGAUGUGGGAUGAAUUUUAAUUGUUUCAUAUAACUUCUUAGCAUCUCAUUCUUCCCCACUUUUCUUUCUUUGAUCGCUCGCAACUUUAGGUCACUAGCCCCAACUUUCUUUGAUUCACCCUUUUGUUUCUUUGAUCGACCGAACGAUUCACCACUUUCUUUCUUUGAUCGAUCACCGGUUCCACCAGUUGCUUCAAUUUCCCUUUUCCUUCUUUGAUCGAUUUUCGGUUCCAUCAGUUGAUUCAACCUGAAGUCGAUCGAAAGAUUCACCGUUUUCUUUCCAUGUGUUGACUAUGACCUGUUAGAUAAAAGAAGGGUAGAGAAUUCGAGUUCAGUCGAUGCAAUCAGCAGACAAGUGCUCCAAUUGAUGAUCAUAAGAAAAGAAGGGUAAUGCUACUGUGUACAACUUUCACGAUAUCGCCUUCUACUCUGGUCUUCAUUUCCUUCCAACCUCAUCGUCGCAUUCUUGAAUCAGAGAUGUUGCUUCUCCUCCGACGUCGUCUAUGACUCCGGGAGCCCUCCGAUACUAGUCCUUAUCAUCUAUGCAUGUUAGCUCUUCCUAAAUCGUCCUAAACGCUUAGUAUUCUUCUUGUUGGGAAUUGAUUUGCACAGUUCUUUAUCAAACCACUAAUGUGAUCUGAUGCAGCUACAAAAACAUCUUAGUAAUGCACUUUCUUGUUUAAAUAUGUAAAAUAUCAUUUAUAAUGGAACCUCUCUCUCAAAUUUAGGUUUCCGAAACUGCUAAAUAAUAGCAGUUUUGUUUUGUAUCUCAUAGGGAACUGGGAUACACUUGAGGUAAAGCCAAAGGCAAGACGGGUAGAUACAAUAGAUGAACUCCUCAAAUUCUAUAAAGAAAAAUACCCAACCAACCUCAUGAGUUAUUUAUUAACUUUAUAUAUCAUAUGUAUCAUUUGUAUCAUGAGUGAUUUAUGGUUUUGGCAUACAUAUUCUUAGGAUUAAUGUUAUAUUUAUUAACUUGUUAAUUUGUUUACUUAUA